GCUGCAAUUGCAUGGAUGCACGGGGCUUGAGUCACUCCCAGAGCUUCCCUCGACUUUAACCCACUUGGAGGUUGUAAAUUGUAGCACACAGGG